rnacentral:sRNA from 1 species
UCAUGCACGAAAGCGUGGGGAUCAAACAGGAUUAGAUACCCUGGUAGUCCACGCUGUAAACGAUGAUCACUCGCUGUUGGCGAUAUACAGUCAGUGGNUAAGCGAAAGUGAUAAGUGAUCCACCUGGGGAGUACGACCGCAAGGUUGAAACUCAAAGGAAUUGACGGGGGCCCGCACAAGCGGAGGAGCAUGUGGUUUAAUUCGAUGAUACGCGAGGAACCUUACCAGGGCUCGAACGCAGGGGGAAUAUUUCUGAAAGGGAAUAGCCAGCAAUGGUCGCCUGCGAGGUGCUGCAUGGUUGUCGUCAGCUCGUGCCGUGAGGUGUCAGGUUAAGUCCUAUAACGAGCGCAACCCCUAUCCUUAGUUGCCAACAGGUCAAGCUGGGAACUCUAGGGAAACUGCCUGCGCAAGCAGAGAGGAAGGUGGGGAUGACGUCAAAUCASCACGGCCCUUAUKUCCUGGGCUACACACGUGCUACAAUGGCCGAUACAGAGGGCAGCCACCACGCGAGUGGGAGCCAAUCCCGAAAAUCGGUCUCAGUUCGGAUCGGAGUCUGCAACCCGACUCCGUGAAGUUGGAUUCGCUAGUAAUCGCGCAUCAGCCAUGGCGCGGUGAAUACGUUCCCGGGCCUUGUACACACCGCCCGUCAAGCCAUGGGAGCUGGGGGUGCCUGAAGUCCGUGAUUCCUGAGCAAUCSGGAAGCGGCCUAGGGUAAACUWAGUGACUGGGGCUAAGUCGUAACAAGGUAGCCGUACCGGAAGGUGUGGCUGGAAUACCUCCUUUCUGGAGAGAUUCAUACCUCAACUCCUGCUACGUUAUUCUUCCUCAUUCUAUAUACCGGGAAAGGAGCCCUUCCGCCCCAAUCCCAUCCCGGGGAAUUAGCUCAGUUGGCUAGAGCACUAGCUUUGCAAGCUAGGGGUCAAGGGUUCGACUCCCUUAUUCUCCACCAAUGCGUUCUAUACUUUUUUGUACAGAUUCUGGAUUAAUCCUUAUCUGAAAAUAAUACACCAUCCGACGGGGAUUAUAAAACCUUGGUUUUAUGUUCGGUUCAACUCCGAAGUGUCUGCAACUAAAGUUCUUUGACAAUCAUGGGCGAUGAGAAACAUAUAAAAGAGACAAGAGCGAAACUUGGGCGACUUAGAGAAGAAAGUUACUAAGGGCGCACGGGGGAUGCCUAAGGCUCUCAGAGGCGAAGAAGGACGUGACAAGCUGCGAAAAUUGUCGGGGAGGUGCAAAUAACCAUUGAUCCGGCGGUGUCCGAAUGGGGCAACCC